rnacentral:lncRNA from 1 species
GCCCACAGAAGUGCUCUCUCUACCUUUGCUUGUUGGAUCUAGAAAGGAAAGGAAAAAGGCAAGGGAGAAAUGGGUGAACUAGGGAGAAAGACAAGAUGGGAGGAUCCGGGAGGACAACUCUGAUGGGACAUGUGUCCUGCACACCCGCUCUCUGCCUCGCCAGCUGUGCCCAGGACCCCAGCUGCCCCCUUGGCCGGGCCCAGGGCGACAGCUGAGGCAACGACGUUUCCCUGGGUCUGUUGACACUCGAGUCCCAGAACAUAAAUGAUUUUCUUGUCUUAAUGAGCAAACAACCCGGCCUGCACCGCUCUCUCGCUGGCCUCCUGCUGGGUAAUUGCCGGUGCUUCUGCGCUCAGGCAGAAAUGUUUACUUACUCACCUUUGCUUACCGCUUGCCAGGAGACGUUGCUUCCUCUUUGUUCUUCAGUUCUGCCUGCCCCUGCCCCUGCCCCUGGGAAGCACCAGAGAACAGACCCUGUGGCUGCUGUCCCUUCGAGGGGAGCUGGUGGCUUCUCUGCAAGAUGCCAGCCUGAUGGGACUGCAUGUGGACAUCAACACCGUCACUAUCACCAUCCCAAAUCCAAGGCAAGACCUUCUUCAGAGGCGGGGGUCAGUGGUGGGCAGCAGCCCUGCCAGGAUGGGGGGGGGGGGUCUCUAGGCAUAGCACCCUCAGAGCUGCUCUUGGGAGUGGCUACGAGGCCCCGAAGAGCAGUUUGCCAACCUUCCAGUGCCAGUUCAAGUGUCCGCCUGCAAGACCGGACAGAUUUAGGCAGGCGGCUUUGA